GACAAGGAGUGGGAGAGACAGCACACCUGGCUUCCAUGUAGCACUGUCACAGAGUUUGGAGAGUUUGGGAUCAGCUCCAUAGACACAUUCUUUUCUCGAACAAGAUGUAAACCAAGCUGUGAAAGAUCAGGGGUUCACAAGCC